CUAGUCUACCGUUCAGAAUGACGUCUCUGUAAAGAAGUACUCAUACCUCGCACGUCUAGAAUCGUAUGGAAAUCGCGUGAAGCAGUAUGCUGUGCGCCACACCAGGCCCAUACAUGAGAGGUACGCGUCGUUGGCUAGCAGAAAAUCAUCGUUCGACAUUUAUCCUACAACUGCAAAGGGAAACACAGAAAAAAUGGCGAAAGCUGGAUUCUUCUACACUGGUGCUCAAGAUCGCACAACCUGCUUUCAGUGCGGCAACUCCCUUUGCAGUUGGAGCGAUGAGGAGCGACCCAUUAUCUGAACACGCCAGGUGGUACAGAGACUGUCCUUACGUCAUUCUGCAGCUUGGUGAUGAGGCUAUCGAGAACAUUAGACGGGAACACAACAAUACACUCGCAGAGAGAAGCCUUGCAGAAAAGAACAAGUCUGACAAAGCAACAGAGUUCUUGGUAGUGAACCUAAAAUCAUCAUACCUUGUCCGUCGUCUGACUCUACAGGGCAUCAAACCGGACAUCGUGGAGUUAGCGAUACGCGCAAGACUUAACAGCACGGGUUGGUAGACGUGCUCGACGAGCAAGACCUACGCAGGGCGCUAUGUGAAGUCGUAUCUUUACCAGAAAACGUGAGAACAAGGGAAGUUCCAAAAGCUGAUACAGGUGACUUGAUCAAGUGCAUCAUCUGCAAGACGGGAGACAGACACAUCAUCUUCCUUCCAUGCAGUCAUCUUGUCUCCUGCAGUGGAUGUGCCGCGUCCUGCACCGUCUGUCCCUCAUGCGAGCGCAAGAUCGCAACCACGAGGGAGGUUUUCUUGGCCUGAAAACAUGGGAAAGCGAUUGAUAUGCAAAAGGCCAGGACUGGCUCUCACGCAGCGUUACACCUCUCAACCACCGCCGCACGCCGGGGAUAUCCUGAAAUUGCGGGAACACAUCGAGAAAGCUGACAGAGCUAUUAGACAGGUUUAAACUGUGACGUGCGACUGGCAACGCGAACGGUGGAUGAAGAACGUUCCCCGUUGAACUGCCACUAAAUACCAGAAAACAAGGUACGACGACGGCAGGGCACACCCGCGUGCACCUCUGAUAGGUCGGGUAGCUGACGACGUGCGAAGUGUACGUAGCGAGAGGUGUUGAGCACAGGGUACGCCCCACUGGACGUCGACUGCCUCACGACGUAAAGCCACGAAUCAUUAUAAAUAUUUUUAUUAUUGCAAUUAUUAUGAAUUAGAGAGCACGACAUGCCGGCGCGGGUAGGCUUGUAUAGAGUAAGACCCUGCAUACAGAGCGUCCCAGCUAAAUGCGAACGUAUU